rnacentral:sRNA from 1 species
UGACCCUCUAGAAUCAGAGAGUCACCUAGCCAACUGACGUUGUUAGUGAAUGAUGAAUUGUUCACAGUUUCAUAGCCAAUCUCACCUAUUGAGAUUGGUUUUUUUCAU